rnacentral:rRNA from 1 species
GCCAGAGGAGGCAAUCGUUAUCCGGAAUUACUGGGCGUAAAGCGUCCGUAGGUGGUCUGACAAGUCUGGGGUUAAAGCCCGGAGCCUAACUCCGGAUCGGCCCUGGAAACUGCCAGACUAGAGUAAGGUAGGGGUUGCGGGAAUUCCCGGUGUAGCGGUGAAAUGCGUAGAUAUCGGGAAGAACACCAGUGGCGAAAGCGCGCAACUGGGCCAUUACUGACACUGAGGGACGAAAGCUAGGGGAGAGAAUGGG